rnacentral:rRNA from 1 species
GUCAAGAUUUCUGGAAUGGAUCCUGGCUUAAAUCUACAUGGCCCCUGGAUUGGACUGCCGCCGAUCAGGCUGUUGGUGAGGUAAUGGCCCACCAAACCUAUAACCGGUACGGGCUCUGAGAGGAGAAGCCCGGAGAUGGGCACUGAGACAAGGGCCCAGGCCCUAUGGGGCGCAGCAGGCGCGAAAACUCUGCAAUGGGCGAAAGCCUGACAGAGUUACUCUGAGUGAUUUCCGCUAAGGAGAUCUUUUGGCAGCUCUAAAAAUGGUGCAGAAUAAGGGGUGGGCAAGUCUGGUGUCAGCCGCCGCGGUAAUACCAGCACCCCGAGUGGUCGGGACGAUUAUUGGGCCUAAAGCAUCCGUAGCCGGUUGUGCAAGUCCUCCGUUAAAUCCAGCCGCUCAACGGAUGGGCUGCGGAGGAUACUACAGAACUAGGAGGCGGGAGAGGCAAGCGGUACUUAGUGGGUAGGGGUAAAAUCCUUUGAUCCAUUGAAGA